CUGCAGAGCCCCUUAGGUAGCUCAGCGUGGAGUACCCGAGUGACCUCUCAGAGCUCCAGAGCAUGGAGAAAUGCAGGCCGAGCGGGGAGUGACGAGCUGAAUAAUGGGUGCAUGUAUUGAAAUGAAGCCUGAACUCCCAAGUGACCAAGAUGAGCAAAGCCUGCAGCAGACUCAUUUCAGAUAUCUAGAGUUAGUAAUAAAUGAAACUUUGUGUGUUAAA